GGUUGGGGGCCCUUUGCUAAGGCUGCUGGCUGCCUCUGUGUGUGUGCCGUCCCUCCGAGACGAAUGAAGUAGAACCUCUCUGCUUAAAGCAGGGAUAGCUUUGCUUCAUUACUAUUUCUCUCUGUCAGGCGUUUUACUGCAAAUACGCAUCCAGUAGGCACAUCUAGUUCCAUGAAGAAGUUGUGUGAUUUUAAAGGUUUGUAAAUACAGCAUUAGAUUAGGAUAUAUCCCAUCCUCUCAUCUUUGUAUUUUUGUGAAUUAUAGAUUUUGAAAUCCUGGGUUGCUCU
rnacentral:lncRNA from 1 species